rnacentral:rRNA from 1 species
GAUGAACGCUAGCGGCAGGCUUAAUACAUGCAAGUCGUGGGGCAGCAUGGGGUAGCAAUACUCUGAUGGCGACCGGCAAACGGGUGCGGAACACGUACGCAACCUUCCCAAAACUGGUGAAUAGCCCUCCGAAAGGAGGAUUAAUACACCGUAACAUAACGAAGUGGCAUCACUUUGUUAUUAUAGCUCCGGCGGUUUUGGAUGGGCGUGCGCCUGAUUAGGUAGUUGGCGGGGUAACGGCCCACCAAGCCUACGAUCAGUAACUGGUGUGAGAGCACGACCAGUCACACGGGCACUGAGACACGGGCCCGACUCCUACGGGAGGCAGCAGUAAGGAAUAUUGGUCAAUGGACGCAAGUCUGAACCAGCCAUGCCGCGUGAAGGAUGAAGGUCCUCUGGAUUGUAAACUUCUUUUAUCUGGGACGAAAAAAGGGCUUUCUAGCUCACUUGACGGUACCAGAGGAAUAAGCACCGGCUAACUCCGUGCCAGCAGCCGCGGUAAUACGGAGGGUGCGAGCGUUAUCCGGAUUUACUGGGUUUAAAGGGUGCGUAGGUGGGCAGGUAAGUCAGUGGUGAAAUCUUCGAGCUUAACUCGGAAACUGCCAUUGAUACUAUCUGUCUUGAAUGCCCUGGAGGUAAGC